CGGCAGCUCCUCCAUUAGAUCAGGUAGUGUAUUAUUAGGUAGGGAAUUAGCGCCCGCUACUGUCGUCAUCGCCUUCCGCCUCGAUGAAAAGCUGUAAGUAGUGUUCGAGGUGAGCGCGACAUAGCGCUGCUGAUGUCGUUUGGUUCGAAACACCUAAUAUUUAUUCGGUAACUUAACGUAAGUUUUCUCUAGAUUCCAUUUUCGUUUUCAUGAAUAUCAAUGGGAAUUUUUAGAUCAAGUUUUGUACGCAACAAGAAAGAAAACACCUAAACUUUCGGAUAAUGUCAGCUCAGCCGCUUUCUGAAGCCGUGGAAAAUCAAGCCUGUUAGCUACGAAGGGAAGAAAGUUUCAGCCGUGGUAGUCGACCCUCGGGCUGGUUGGUGUCCUUCACUCGUAAAAGUUGAUCAAGGAACAUGGUCGUCUGACGUAACAAUGUGCUAGAACAAGAGUGUUUGAACAGCUGUAUAUGUCUGAAAGUAACGAACUUCACGUGUUGAGGGGCCUACUACGCAGUGUAUAAAAACUCUUUCUAUUUUAACCAACCACAAGUGGAGUGGACGUCAUGGCGUAAUGUGGGUGGAGCUUUGUGGGAACAGCACCUAUUAUUACUGGUCCAUGUGCCGACGUUACGUGGGCCUGGUUUGGGAGCUUGAUGUCAACGUCGACGGAGGCUCCGGUUCUGGAGGAAGAGACGGCGCCACAAGCCGUCAUGUAAAUACAGGGCAGAAAAGUAAUUACAGUUUGAAGUUACUGAAACGGAGCUUUGCGUCCACGGAAGGGACAGGAGCCUUGAAUCUCUGAUACAACGGUUACUGCUGACUUCCUGCAUGGAACCUCAUGUUAGUCUUGCACAGACCAUA